rnacentral:misc_RNA from 1 species
GAAAUGCGAUAAGUAAUGUGAAUUGCAGAAUUCAGUGAAUCAUCGAAUCUUUGAACGCACCUUGCGCUCCUUGGUAUUCCGGGGAGCAUGCCUGUUUGAGUGUCAUGGAAUUCUCAACUCUAUUUGCUUUUGUGAAUAGAGCUUGGAUUUGGAGGUUUAUUGCUGGUACUUGUGAUCGGCUCCUCUUGAAUGCAUUAGCUCGAACCUUUGCGGAUCAGCUAUCGGUGUGAUAAUUGUCUACGCCGUUGCAGUGAAGCAUAUCAAUGGGCUCGGCUUCCAAUCGUCCUUUACUGGACAAUGACUUUGACCUUUGACCUCAAAUCAGGUAGGAUUACCCGCUGAACUUAAGC